rnacentral:rRNA from 1 species
CAGGAUGAACGCUAGCGACAGGCCUAACACAUGCAAGUCGAGGGGCGAGCACAAGGAGCAAUCUGAGGUGGCGACCGGCGCACGGGUGAGUAACACGUAUGCAACCUGCCUGUAAGCGGGGAAGUAACCCGUUGAAAGACGGACUAAUACCGCAUAAUACUAAAUUACUGCAUGGUAAUUUAUUUAAACAUUUAUGGCUUACAGAUGGGCAUGCGCAUGAUUAGCUAGUUGGAGAGGUAACGGCUCCCCAAGGCAACGAUCAUUAGGGGUUCUGAGAGGAAGGUCCCCCACACUGGUACUGAGACACGGACCAGACUCCUACGGGAGGCAGCAGUGAGGAAUAUUGGUCAAUGGACGAGAGUCUGAACCAGCCAAGUCGCGUGCAGGAAGAAUUGUCCUAUGGAUUGUAAACUGCUUUUGCAGGGGAAUAAAGUGCAUCACGUGUGAUGUUUUGUAUGUACUCUGCGAAUAAGGAUCGGCUAACUCCGUGCCAGCCGCCGC